rnacentral:rRNA from 1 species
UUGUUCGCCAAAUUACUACGAGUAGUAACUUAAAACUUAAAAGACUUGACGGUGCUUCACUACACCCCAGAGGAGCCUGUGCAAUAACCGAUAACCCACGUUUAACCCUACCCCCCUUUGCCAACAGUCUAUAUACCGCCGUCGUAAGCCUACCUUGUGAAAGCACCAUAGUAGGCUAAAUAACCCCAUUAAGACGACAGGUCGAGGUGUAACUAAUAGGGGGGACUAGCAUGGGCUACACUCUCUCCCCAGAGCACAAAUAAUACUAUGAAAAAGUAUUUGAAGAAGGAUUUAGCAGUAAGACGGGAACAUAAUACCCGCCUGAACAUAACGCAAUGAAGCGCGUACACACCGCCCGUCACCCC